GUAUAAGAGACAGCAGUCGCCGCGGUAAUACAGAGGGUGCGAGCGUUAAUCGGAUUUACUGGGCGUAAAGCGUGCGUAGGCGGCUUCUUAAGUCGGAUGUGAAAUCCCUGAGCUUAACUUAGGAAUUGCAUUCGAUACUGGGAAGCUAGAGUAUGGGAGAGGAUGGUAGAAUUCCAGGUGUAGCGGUGAAAUGCGUAGAGAUCUGGAGGAAUACCGAUGGCGAAGGCAGCCAUCUGGCCUAAUACUGACGCUGAGGUACGAAAGCAUGGGGAGCAAACAGGAUUAGAGACCCGAGUAGUCCCUGUCUCUUAUAC
rnacentral:rRNA from 1 species